CGCAAUGGGCGAAAGCCUGACGGAGCAAUGCCGCGUGGAGGAUGACAGCCUGUGGGUCGUAAACUCCUUUUCUCAGAGAAGAAGUUCUGACGGUAUCUGAGGAAUAAGCAUCGGCUAACUCCGUGCCCGCAGCCGCGGUAAGACGGAGGAUGCAAGCGUUAUCCGGAAUGAUUGGGCGUAAAGCGUCUGUAGGUGGUUUAUUAAGUCUACUGUUAAAGAUCAGGGCUUAACCCUGAGUCGGCAGUAGAAACUAAUGAGCUUGAGUACGGUAGGGGCAGAGGGAAUUCCCGGUGUAGCGGUGAAAUGCGUAGAGAUCGGUAAGAACGAGCAAUGGCGAAAGCACUCUGCUGGGCCGGUCUCCCUUUCUAGACGAAAGCUA
rnacentral:rRNA from 1 species